rnacentral:rRNA from 1 species
UUUUAAUAUAUCUAGUUUUUUAAGAAAUAAAUUUAAUUUAGUUAAUUAAUUUUAAUAAUUUAAUUUUUAAUGUUAUUAUAAUUAAUUAAUAAUAUUUUAAGGGAUGAGCUUUAAAAUAAAAUUUUAUAAAUAAUUAUAAUUAAAAAUAAUUGUAGGCUUAGAAUUAGCUAUCAAUAGAAAUUAUGUUUUAAUUUAUUUUGUUUUUAAUAUUAUUUAAUAUUUAUUUUAAAUUUUUUAUUAAAAUAUAAAUUUUAAUUUAUUAAAUUUAUUAAUAAUGAUAAAAUUAGUAAAUAUAUUUAAUUUUAUAAAUAAAUCUAAUUUGAUUGGUUUUUAUAAUUAAUUCGGCAAAUUUUGUGUUCACCUGUUUAUCAAAAACAUGUCUUUUUGGUUAUUUAAUAUAAAGUCUGACCUGCCCACUGAAUAUAGUUUUAAAGGGCCGCAGUAUUUUGACUGUGCAAAGGUAGCAUAAUCAUUAGUCUUUUAAUUGAAGGCUGGUAUGAAUGGUUGGAUGAGGUACAAGCUGUGUCAUAAAAAUUAAAUUUUGAAUUUACCUUUUUAGUCAAAAGGCUAAAAUAAAGUUAAAAGACGAGAAGACCCUAUAGAGCUUUAUAUAAUUUAUAUUUAAAUUAUUAAGAUUUUUUAAAUUUAAUUAUAUUAUUAUAUUUUGUUGGGGUGACAAUAAAAUUUAUAAAACUUUUAUUUUUAUUAAUCAUUUAUUUAUGUUUAUAUGAUCCAGUUUUAUUGAUUAUAAAUUUAAGUUACCUUAGGGAUAACAGCGUAAUUUUUUUUGAGAGUUCUUAUCGACAAAAAAGAUUGCGACCUCGAUGUUGGAUUAAGAGUAAUUUUGGGUGUAGAAGUUCAAAGUUUAAGCUGUUUCGACUUUUAAAUUCUUACAU